rnacentral:rRNA from 1 species
UACGGAGGGUGCGAGCGUUGUCCGGAAUCAUUGGGCGUAAAGGGCGCGUAGGUGGCUUCUUAAGCGUGCGGUGAAAGCCUGGGGCUCAACCCCGGGUCGGCCGUGCGAACUGGGACGCUGGAGUACGGGAGAGGUAAGCGGAAUUCCUGGUGUAGCGGUGAAAUGCGUAGAUAUCAGGAGGAACACCUGCGGUGUAGACGGCUUACUGGACCGUAACUGACGCUGAGGCACGAAAGCGUGGGUAGCAAACAGG